CCUACGGGUGGCAGCAGUGGGGAAUAUUGCACAAUGGGCGAAAGCCUGAUGCAGCAACGCCGCGUGAAGGAAGACGGUUUUCGGAUUGUAAACUUCUAUCAAUAGGGAAGAAAGAAAUGACGGUAUCUAACGAAUAAGCACCGGCUAACUCCGUGCCAGCAGCCGCGGUAAUACGGAGGGUGCAAGCGUUACUCGGAAUCACUGGGCGUAAAGAGCGCGUAGGCGGGAUAGCAAGUCAGAUGUGAAAUCCUAUGGCUUAACCAUAGAACUGCAUUUGAAACUGUUAUUCUAGAGUAUGGGAGAGGUAGGUGGAAUUCUUGGUGUAGGGGUAAAAUCCGUAGAGAUCAAGAGGAAUACUCAUUGCGAAGGCGACCUGCUAGAACAUAACUGACGCUGAUGCGCGAAAGCGUGGGGAGCAAACAGGAUUAGAUACCCUUGUAGUC
rnacentral:rRNA from 1 species